GGACGGGAGGGCAGUCUGGCUUUGACAUCUGUCACCCCGAUGAUCGCCAGGAUUGAUUCAGCUGAUCUGGCUGGCUAGGCAGGUGUCCCCUUCCUUCCUCACUGGUCCACAUUCAUCCCUCCCAAAGUAGAUGGCCUUCCUCCCAGAGGAGAGGACUGAUCUUCAGUCAAGGGUAUAUGAGUAGCUGCUAGAACCUCCAAAGAAGCUGUCAAGGUCCAUUUUUAGGAGAACAUAGCGUAGUCAAGACUCCAGACAUAUAAGUGAGGCACUGCACGCAGAAGUCAGUCGGCCUUU
rnacentral:snRNA from 1 species